rnacentral:misc_RNA from 1 species
GAAAGCAUGUAGUUGGAGGAGGUGAGGAAGAGAGAGGAGAGGUAGAGAGUAUAGGGAGAGGGGGAACCGAUAUGUAACUUAUUAUAAACUUGAGGAAUAAAUCCUAAAAUGUCAAAAGAUUAUUUUAGUCCUAGCAAUGCUUGUAUUGCAUAUACCUAAGUUUGAGGCAAAUUGAAUUUUUUAUAAACUUUGAGGUGUAACUUGUACAAUGUCCAACUAUUAUUCUAGUCCUUCCUGCAAUGCUUGUAUUGCACAUCCUGAAUUUGGGCAAAUUAGGCUAAUUUGCACAAAAUUUACCUUACUUGUGUUUUGUAUUUAAUAUUACCUUACUGGCAAGAUGAGGAUCCAAAUUGACCGUUUGUUCUAAAAACUACAAGGGGGAGCAUGCCGUUAUGAAGCAAAAAAUCUGGCUGUGGUGUAUGGAGCUCAGAUUAUAAGAUUAAAAGUGAAGUAUUGUGCCUUAUUGUGGGGAUUAGAUGGAAAGCAUAUAUUCUAGAGAAGCAAAACAUGCAUUUCUUUUUUCAUUCUUUUGUGUGAAUUGUGAUAUGAAUCAAACUUGGCAGGUCUCAAAAUUAGGCUUUGGAU